rnacentral:rRNA from 1 species
AGUGAACGCUGGCGGUAGGCCUAACACGUGCAAGUCGAACGGCAGCACAGUAAGAGCUUGCUCUUACGGGUGGCGAGUGGCGGACGGGUGAGGAAUACAUCGGAAUCUACUUUUUCGUGGGGGAUAACGUAGGGAAACUUACGCUAAUACCGCAUACGACCUACGGGUGAAAGCAGGGGAUCUUCGGACCUUGCGCGAUUGAAUGAGCCGAUGUCGGAUUAGCUAGUUGGCGGGGUAAAGGCCCACCAAGGCGACGAUCCGUAGCUGGUCUGAGAGGAUGAUCAGCCACAAUGGAACUUAGACACGGUCCAGACUCCUACGGGAGGCAGCAGUGGGGAAUAUUGGACAAUGGGCGCAAGCCUGAUCCAGCCAUACCGCGUGGGUGAAGAAGGCCUUCGGGUUGUAAAGCCCUUUUGUUGGGAAAGAAAAGCAGCAGGUUAAUACCCCGCUGUUCUGACGGUACCCAAAGAAUAAGCACCGGCUAACUUCGUG